rnacentral:rRNA from 1 species
GACGAACCGCCCGAACGUUAUUCGGAAUCUCUGGGCUUAAAGGGAGCGUAGGCGGGCUGCCAAGUCCGGGGUGAAAUCCUCCAGCUUAACUGGAGAACUGCCUCGGAUACUGGAAGUCUCGAGGAGGGUAGGGGCAAGUGGAACCGUGGGUGGAGCGGUGAAAUGCGUUGAUAUCCAUGGGAACUCCGGUGGCGAAGGCGACUUGCUGGACCCUUUCUGACGCUGAGGCUCGAAAGCCAGGGGAGCAAACGGG